GACGUAGGGCGCGAGCGUUGUCCGGAUUUAUUGGGCGUAAAGAGCUCGUAGGCGGCUUGUCGCGUCGUCUGUGAAAUCCCGCGGCUCAACUGCGGGCUGGCAGUCGAUACGGGCAGGCUGGAGUUCGGUAGGGGAGACUGGAAUUCCUGGUGUAGCGGUGAAAUGCGCAGAUAUCAGGAGGAACACCGGUGGCGAAGGCGGGUCUCUGGGCCGACACUGACGCUGAGGAGCGAAAGCGUGGGGAGCGAACAGG
rnacentral:rRNA from 1 species